rnacentral:rRNA from 1 species
AGUGAACGCUGGCGGUAGGCCUAACACAUGCAAGUCGAACGGCAGCACAGUAAGAGCUUGCUCUUACGGGUGGCGAGUGGCGGACGGGUGAGGAAUACAUCGGAAUCUACUUUUUCGUGGGGGAUAACGUAGGGAAACUUACGCUAAUACCGCAUACGACCUACGGGUGAAAGCAGGGGAUCUUCGGACCUUGCGCGAUUGAAUGAGCCGAUGUCGGAUUAGCUAGUUGGCGGGGUAAAGGCCCACCAAGGCGACGAUCCGUAGCUGGUCUGAGGGGAUGAUCAGCCACACCGGAACUGAGACACGGUCCAGACUCCUACGGGAGGCAGCAGUGGGGAAUAUUGGACAAUGGGCGCAAGCCUGAUCCAGCCAUACCGCGUGGGUGAAGAAGGCCUUCGGGUUGUAAAGCCCUUUUGUUGGGAAAGAAAAGCAGCAGGUUAAUACCCCGCUGUUCUGACGGUACCCAAAGAAUAAGCACCGGCUAACUUCGUG